rnacentral:rRNA from 1 species
CACGCUGUAAACGAUGAGUACUAGGUGUCGGGGGUUACCCCCUUCGGUGCCGCAGCUAACGCAUUAAGUACUCCGCCUGGGAAGUACGCUCGCAAGAGUGAAACUCAAAGGAAUUGACGGGGACCCGAACAAGUAGCGGAGCAUGUGGUUUAAUUCGAAGCAACGCGAAGAACCUUACCUAAGCUUGACAUCCCAAUGACAUCUCCUUAAUCGGAGAGUUCCCUUCGGGGACAUU